ACAGGUGCUGCAUGGCUGUCGUCAGCUCGUGUUGUGAAAUGUUGGGUUAAGUCCCGCAACGAGCGCAACCCUUAUCCUUUGUUGCCAGCGGUCCGGCCGGGAACUCAAAGGAGACUGCCAGUGAUAAACUGGAGGAAGGUGGGGAUGACGUCAAGUCAUCAUGGCCCUUACGACCAGGGCUACACACGUGCUACAAUGGCGCAUACAAAGAGAAGCGACCUCGCGAGAGCAAGCGGACCUCAUAAAGUGCGUCGUAGUCCGGAUUGGAGUCUGCAACUCGACUCCAUGAAGUCGGAAUCGCUAGUAAUCGUGGAUCAGAAUGCCACGGUGAAUACGUUCCCGGGCCUUGUACACACCGCCCGUCACACCAUGGGAGUGGGUUGCAAAAGAAGUAGGUAGCUUAACCUUCGGGAGGGCGCUUACC
rnacentral:rRNA from 1 species